ACAGCUCUCAGAAGGACUGACCGCAGUCAGGUGUCAUGUGAUACUGAUUUAACACUGAUUGAAGGAAGCUGUGUUUAAACAGACACUGAUACAAAGCCAGAACCUCUGCAGAGAUCAGAUAUGACUUUACACGCCUGCAGUCUGAAAUGUGGAUCUGCAGUGCAUCACCUCCCACACCCACCAUUUAUCUGCCUGAGCUCCUCAGCCAUCACUUCUCAUGUUUGCUUCUUCUCACUUUUUCCUAUGAUUUUUCUUCUUUAGAUUUUUAAUCACCGUUCUGAAACUCACUCAGAUGCUGGCUGGCAUCUUCAUCUAUUAUUUCGCUCCCGUUUCCAGCAAAACGUCGGCUUGUCGGUGGAAUUUAUGGCAUUUGUAAGUGACAUCACUUUAAACCUUUUGGGUUCAGGCAGAUUAAAAAGGUCAGCAGAGGCUGUGGGAGGUUCUGUUCAACUCAGUAAAUCUGUGAUCACUUACUGAAACAAACUUUAAACAAACCUGGAUUUGGAAAUGAAAUAAUAUUUAUGUCAUUUCCCACAGAUUCAUUAAGGUUUUUUUGUUUUGGCAACAAGUGUUUAUAAGAUCCCUCACAUAAUUAAGAGGUUUUAUGCUUUUUUUGACUCAAACAUGUCAGAGUUUUACAAAGAUGAAACACAAAUGGUAGUUUUCUGGCUUAUUUGACCAGAGUAUCGUUGUUAGGAUUCAAGUUGGUGUGAGUGCUCCUCCGAAUAGACAAUCUUCGUGGGAGCGUUCCGGCAGGCUGACGCACCUGAAGCGGAUUUCUGAAAUCGGCUGCAGGAUUCUUAAGAAGCGGUGGAGCAGCCAUUCAUCGCUCGAUGGUCCCACUUGUUGAUUUUGGAUGCUCUGCCUGGAUCCAGCUAAGUAACCACGCCCACCCGAACACUGACACCGAUCGCCCUCCGGACUAAACGCUCUCGUCUGCCGCCUGAGCCCGCAACCUUCUCGGAGCCUUUGCACCAACGGAUCCUACCUCCUCCUCGGCAAUCCUCCAUCAGAUGAUCUUACCUGAGCCGCCCAGCCGCUCCCGAAACCAGAGGACAACUUAGGCUCAACAUAU